rnacentral:lncRNA from 1 species
AAGGACCUAGACCAGGUCAAAAGGAGGUCGAUGGGGAAUGAGAUUGUCGAAGUCGAAGCGAAGCAAGCAAAAACGAUGCAAUCGGUUGAGCAGAAUGUGGGUGCAAUUGCAAAGGAGAACGUGGGUGCAAUUGCAAAGCACGUGGGGUUGCAGGUUCACAUGCGUGGCACACUGUAGAUGGUCAGUCAUGUAGGAAUUAUUUUUUUAUUAUUAUUUAAGGAGAUUUGAUUUCUAGUUCAAGGGGAGGUAUUUGUAACAUUGCAAAGGAAAAACACUCAAAG